CCUACGGGGGGCAGCAGUGGGGAAUAUUGCACAAUGGGGGAAACCCUGAUGCAGCGACGCCGCGUGAGUGAAGAAGUAAUUCGUUAUGUAAAGCUCUAUCAGCAGGGAAGAAAAUGACGGUACCUGAGUAAGAAGCACCGGCUAAAUACGUGCCAGCAGCCGCGGUAAUACGUAUGGUGCAAGCGUUAUCCGGAUUUACUGGGUGUAAAGGGAGCGCAGGCGGCACGGCAAGCCUGAUGUGAAAGCCCGCGGCCCAACCGCGGGACUGCAUUGGGAACUACCGGGCUGGAGUGCCGGAGAGGUAAGCGGAAUUCCUAGUGUAGCGGUGAAAUGCGUAGAUAUUAGGAGGAACACCAGUGGCGAAGGCGGCUUACUGGACUGUAACUGACGUUGAGGCUCGAAAGCGUGGGGAGCAAACAGGAUUAGAGACCCUGGUAGUC
rnacentral:rRNA from 1 species